CCGGUGUCAGUUCCCGUCAGGAACAAUCUGAUCCCGGUCAGACUCCCAGUAGACAAACCGGGAGAACCACUGAAUGACUGGGACGACACUGACACAGGAAACUGUUACCGAUGAAAUGUGAAGCUGAGCCACAGCUGGAACGUGUCGACGGUAAAAUCCAGGAGUCAGACACCUCCACCGACGACCCUCAGGGCUGCCCGGGGAGCCGAGUCUGGCGCAGCAUCUCUGACCUCCCCGUACGGAAUGUACAGGCCGUAAGAUGGCGUCUGGACGUUCACGCGACGUGGCCUUCAGAUAACGAAGGUAUGAAGGAAAAAAGGUGGAGGGGGCGGAGCUCAGUUCGACUAUCAGUUUGUCGCUUCCUUCCCCAAAUUUAAAUUCAAACAAGCUUUAUCGACACGACCGUGGUUCAGUUCAACAAUCACGACGACAGACAGGGAGCGCCGGAACUGGCGGACACCCCUGAUAAAACAGCUAAAUUGAGGACAUUUUGAAUUGGGUUUGGUGUGUGAUCAGAUGCAGCCUCUGGCAUUUGGAGCCGGCUGCAGCAUGCCUCGCUCUCCCCUCAGGCAGAGGAAGAAGGUGACUCCACAAACUGCCUGACGCCUCUCACUUUAGCUCAAAG